rnacentral:rRNA from 1 species
UAGUCCACACCGUAAACGAUGAGAGCUAGUUGUCUGCAAGCAUGCUUGUAGGUGACGCAGCUAACGCAUUAAGCUCUCCGCCUGGGGAGUACGGUCGCAAGAUUAAAACUCAAAGAAAUUGACGGGGGCCCGCACAAGCGGUGGAGCAUGUGGUUUAAUUCGAAGCAACGCGCAGAACCUUACCUACCCUUGACAUGCCGGUCGCGAUUUCCAGAGAUGGAUUUCUUCAAUUCGGUUGGACCGUGCACAGGUGCUGCAUGGCCGUCGUCAGCUCGUGUCGUGAGAUGUUGGGUUAAGUCCCGCAACGAGCGCAACCCUCACUUUUAGUUGCCAGCAUUUAGUUGGGCACUCUAGAAGAACUGCCGGUGCUAAGCCGGAGGAAGGUGGGGGAUGACGUCAAAUCAUCAUGGCCUUUAUGCCUAGGGGCUACGACACGUGCUACAAUGGGCAGGGUAC